AUGCCCAGUGAUUAUAACAAGACGCGUUAUUACGAGGAUCAACACUGGAGCUCCCCUUCUACCUUCCUGCUGUUCACUCCCCUCCCCCCCAGUUAUCCAUCUUUUCCUUUUUUCCCCCUGCUUCUCUUUUCCCCCCCCCCCCCCCCCUUUCUUGGAGUUUCACUCCUUCCUCCUUCUUGGGAGUUUCCAGUGUCCUAUGAGCAAGAUUAUGAGAUAUGAGGGCAU